rnacentral:rRNA from 1 species
CAAAAAAAAAGACCACUUCCACCGCACCGGCGCACCACCAAACGACCGGCGUCCUCCCUACGUAAGGGUAGCAGGAUCGUGGGUACGAGGCGGCACCCGGCACCGGCUGCAUAAAGAGCCCCGCCGCUCCACCGCUCUAGGAGGAGUAGCCGAGGAACGAGAGGACGCUCUGGCGGUGUCGAGUAGCAUCAACGGCGACGCGGGUCCAGUAGAGGGGGCGUCGGUCGCGACGGCCUAACUACCGGCUCAGUUCCGUCAAGGUAGUAGACUAGAAGGAGCACCACGAUACUGGUGUUAGUCGUGUGGUGCAUGUCGGAGUGGCCUCUCUGCUGUGAUGGUAGUCUUGAUCCUCAUCAUUCUCCUCGGGGGGAACGAUGUACCUCUUGUUGUCAACUUCUUCUUGUAGAAUUUUAGGAGUGUUCGAAGUCCCAGAAGACGAGUAGAGAAACAUCCAUCCAACGUUUAUCCUAGAUAUUAGAAACAGGUGUUAAAAGUCUACUAAAAUGGAUGGAGGUCAAAGUAAUACCAAUGUAAUACCCAGUGUGACACUGACGUCGGCGGUAACGUUCAAACUGAACUUAAAACCGAAGACAUCCAUACCUGAGCUAAGAGGAGAGGUAUCCAAAGAUGGAGAGACUUAAGGAUAAGGACAACGGUGUAUUAAUGUAGGAAAUAAAAACCCCGCCUUUAGUUACAUAUCUAGAUAACAAAGAGACAUGUUCGUGUACGAUAUAUAAACAAAAACCUGAUUAAGAAGGUAACAAAAGAACGAUUAAACUUUAAUAGGUUGGAAAAUAUAAAAGUGAACGUAUCUACCGAAUUAGAUCUUGGACCUGGCUACUGAUACAUAUUGCGUACGUAACCCAGCAAAGAGGAUUCUUCUAAUUUGUUGGACUUGAAAAUUGAACUCGAGGUUUCUUCAACAACUUACUAGAUCGUAAAAACCCAAAAAUGAUUCGACUUUUUACAUCGUGACACUGUUAUUAUAAGACUUGAAUUUAGAAAGUAAAAGAAUGGUGUAAAAAUGUUAACACGUGAACCUACUACCACUGUAAUAAAGAAUAGACUUAAGACGUGCGUACAAAGGUUAACUUUGUCAUUGACUUUAACUAUUCAUACGUUGUCAAAGACGGGACGUCGUACCGAUUUUACAACACUCAAUGAUGAAGUCUAUUCAUUGGUGGCAUAAUAAAAGACACACAUUAACUGUACAUGUCUACAACAGGGAGGCGGACUGUUGUUAGAUAUCCAUACGUCCAUGACAGAUUAUGGAUGUGUGUUCGAAGAGAGUGUCUAACUGAGGAGACUAACACUGAGUCGUACACACACCGGCACUACGUCUGGAAUAGAACCGGACUCGAAGUUAAGGGAAUACACUAUGCUAACCGUCGAGAAAAGAAGAUCUAUAUAACCAAAGACGUCCAAGGUAACCUAGAACGGAAACUCACUAUGCUAUCGAGUUACCGUACGAGUGGUCAACAACAGGACAGUUUUACCGUUUGACCGAGUUGAAAUAAAGGAUACACAUAAUGUCUCAUGAUCUACACUAAUGAAAUAAAGAUCGUGACCGUUAAAAGAUUCGUAAUACAAAAAAUUCUGCGACUCCAGAGGCUACUAAUCAAUACGAAACACUCUAAAUACGCGAAGUAUGUUGGAUCCAUUAAGAGUAAACUAGAAGAAUUAAAGAUUGACUUAUAUCUAUAUAUGACUGUCAUUCCGGCCACGUCAUUUAUCAACCUAUUAAGAAACUGUACAGCAUGAGAUUGCAAACAAAUUUAGUCGUAACCUAUGAGGGUACUAGCUAAUGAGAAACGUAUUAUUUAAUUAUGUUAUUCUUCACAUAACCAAGAAGUCACAAACGUCCGUCUUUUACUAAAUUUAUAUCUGUGUCACUCGACGUAUGACGUUAUUGUCGGUUAACGGUCUGUCCUAAUGUAACUAGUUUCUUUCGUGACAAACCUAUCUCUUUUCUAGUACCAGUUGUUAACCACGAACUCCUUUACCCAUAUAUACCAAUAUUCCAACGCCCUUCAACAUAUACUGGCCUCGUUCAACAUUAAAGAGAAGGUCUUAAUAGAUUCGAUUCUCAAAGUAAAUCGAAGUAUCAACACGAAAUAAAGGACCCUGUUGUGCGGGAAUUACAUGUACAGUAACACAGGACCUUGUAAUUAAGUAUUUUUUAUCGUUGAAGUUUAAUUUUAAAAUUAUAGAUUAUGUAACCACUGGG